rnacentral:rRNA from 1 species
UUAAAUUGAAGAGUUUGAUCAUGGCUCAGAUUGAACGCUGGCGGCAGGCCUAACACAUGCAAGUCGAACGGUAACAGGAAGCAGCUUGCUGCUUUGCUGACGAGUGGCGGACGGGUGAGUAAUGUCUGGGAAACUGCCUGAUGGAGGGGGAUAACUACUGGAAACGGUGGCUAAUACCGCAUAACGUCG